rnacentral:rRNA from 1 species
GAUGAACGCUGGCGGCGUGCUUAACACAUGCAAGUCGAACGGUGAACGAGGGAGCUUGCUCCCUCCGGAUCAGUGGCGAACGGGUGAGUAACACGUGAGCAAUCUGCCCUGGACUCUGGGAUAAGCGUUGGAAACGACGUCUAAUACCGGAUACGAGGCGUGGGGGCAUCCCCAACGCCUGGAAAGAACUUCGGUCCAGGAUGAGCUCGCUGCCUAUCAGGUAGUUGGUGAGGUAAUGGCCCACCAAGCCUACGACGGGUAGCCGGCCUGAGAGGGUGACCGGCCACACUGGGACUGAGACACGGCCCAGACUCCUACGGGAGGCAGCAGUGGGGAAUAUUGCACAAUGGGCGAAAGCCUGAUGCAGCAACGCCGCGUGAGGGACGACGGCCUUCGGGUUGUAAACCUCUUUUAGCAGGGAAGAAGCGAAAGUGACGGUACCUGCAGAAAAAGCACCGGCUAACUACGUGCCAGCCGCCGCCGUAACAC